CUGCUCCAAACGGAGGGCUUUAAAUCUGGUACAAGAAAAAUAAACCUCUGACUCCUGAAGCUAAAGACGACAGCAACUCGAAGUGACCCAACUCAAUCUCACUAAGGUGCGAUAACCCCCCGAUGUGACGGAUUACCGCUUUUACAAAUGAUAAAUAUAUGCUUAGUAUAAACCUCUGACUCCUGAAGCUAAAGACGACAGCAACUCGAAGUGACCCAACUCAAUCUCACUAAGGUGCGAUAACCCCCCGAUGUGACGGAUUACCGCUUUUACAAAUGAUA
rnacentral:lncRNA from 1 species